UACGAAGGGGGCUAGCGUUGUUCGGAUUUACUGGGCGUAAAGCGCACGUAGGCGGGCUUUUAAGUCAGAGGUGAAAUCCCAGGGCUCAACCCUGGAACUGCCUUUGAUACUGGAAGUCUUGAGUAUGGAAGAGGUGAGUGGAAUUGCGAGUGUAGAGGUGAAAUUCGUAGAUAUUCGCAGGAACACCAGUGGCGAAGGCGGCUCACUGGUCCAUUACUGACGCUGAGGUGCGAAAGCGUGGGGAGCAAACAGG
rnacentral:rRNA from 1 species